CCUACGGGAGGCAGCAGUGGGGAAUAUUGGACAAUGGGCGAAAGCCUGAUCCAGCAAUGCCGCGUGAGUGAUGAAGGCCUUCGGGUCGUAAAGCUCUUUUACCAGGGAUGAUAAUGACAGUACCUGGAGAAUAAGCUCCGGCUAACUCCGUGCCAGCAGCCGCGGUAAUACGGAGGGAGCUAGCGUUGUUCGGAAUUACUGGGCGUAAAGAGUACGUAGGCGGUUAUUCAAGUCAGAGGUGAAAGCCCGGGGCUCAACCCCGGAACUGCCUUUGAAACUAGAUAACUAGAGUCUUGGAGAGGUUAGUGGAAUUCCGAGUGUAGAGGUGAAAUUCGUAGAUAUUCGGAAGAACACCAGUGGCGAAGGCGACUAACUGGACAAGUACUGACGCUGAGGUACGAAAGCGUGGGGAGCAAACAGGAUUAGAUACCCUGGUAGUCCACGCCGUAAACGAUGAUAACUAGUUGUUCGGUCACUUGGUGACUGAGUGACGCAGCUAACGCAUUAAGUUAUCCGCCUGGGGAGUACGGUCGCAAGAUUAAAACUCAAAGUGAUAGAGCGUGAGAGUUGCGAGCGACACGAGGAGAGG
rnacentral:rRNA from 1 species